GACGAACCGAGCGAACGUUGUUCGGAAUCACUGGGCUUAAAGGGCGCGUAGGCGGGCUGUCAAGUUUGGGGUGAAAUCCCGCGGCUCAACCGUGGAACUGCCUCAAAUACUGACGGUCUCGAGGGAGGUAGGGGCGAGCGGAACUGAUGGUGGAGCGGUGAAAUGCGUUGAUAUCGGAAGGAACGCCGGUGGCGAAAGCGACGUGCUGGACCUCUUCUGACGCUGAGGCGCGAAAGCUAGGAGAGCGAACGGG
rnacentral:rRNA from 1 species